rnacentral:lncRNA from 1 species
AAAAAAAUUGUCAUCUUUUAAGGUUUGAAAAAUAUAUUUUUGGACGAUUUCAAAUAUUGGUUACAAUCCGAUCCGAACUGAACUCGGAAGGAACCGAGCAGAACUCGACCCUAUAAUUAGUACAACUCGAACGGGACUUAUAAGCAUAAGACCGAAAAUCCCAAAAAUCUGAAUCAACCAAACCGAAACCGAUGGACCCCGAACGCUCAUGCCUACGACUUGGUCUGAUUUAACGGUUUGGUGUUUCAGAUGAUAAUAUUAAACCGGUUAAGGUCUGAUCAUUCUUACUCGAGACUUUGGAAAAAACCUAUUUCACUAUAUACAGUCCCGCUCCUACCUUUUUCAUAUACGAACAAACAUACCGUACUUUAUUCAACCUUAACAACUAACAAAUUCAAAUACAACACAUCAACUUUAGUAUUUAAUCUGAGUUGCUCCCCAAAUGAUUAUUAGUAAUCAAGUGAUUAGGGAGGAACCAAUUAGAAGGUCAGAGAACUAACUGCUAAUAACAUUUUGUAUGCAUCCAUAGUGUCUGAUUUCCUCUAUGGCCUCUCUUGUGAAUGGCCCAUGUUGAGGUUUAUUUCACAUUACGUCCAUUUCCCUGUGCUUCUCUUCUCAGUUAAGCGACAUAGAAGCAAGUGGCAACUGAUGACACAUGUAUGUGUUGUGUGUAACUAGACAUUUGAUCCUGUGUCACGAGAUGACUGAACAAAGACUUUCGUUGAUUCAGUUAAACAUUCCCAUGUUAGUAUGUUGCAAUAACCAUCAAAGUGAGAAGAAGACAAGACAAAGUGGGUCCUGAAUCUUGUACCAGGAGAAGAACAAUGUUACAUAUGUGUCACUGUAAAUGCAUAAUCUGUCGUGAUUAAAAGGGAUGUAGAACAAGAAAUAGUUAAAAUUUUCAAGAGCAAUAAAUGAGCUUAUGUCUUCUUUUCAAAGUGAUUUUACAUUUGAAAACUGAGAAAGAUGAAACAAAAGGACUAGGAAACAAAAGACCUGAGCGCAGCACUCACUGUUUUGAGAGGACAUUCCUCCGGAACCACCACCUCACACCGCAUAUUGUGUGCAGAGAACAUUUUUAUGGGGUUGCUUCAUACGUUUUGUUUACUUCUUUCGAAAGUCUGAUGUUAACAUAUGUAAUUUAGGACAGAUUGAAUAAAUAGAGUACUACUAAAAUAAUGUUCCGUUUCGA